rnacentral:rRNA from 1 species
GCAUCUGUGCAUGCAGCAUAUCAAUAAGCGGAGGAAAAGAAACUAACAAGGAUUCCCCUAGUAACGGCGAGUGAAGCGGGAAGAGCUCAAAUUUGAAAUCUUAAAGGGUUUCCCUUUACGAAUUGUAGUUUAAAGAAGUAUUUUCUGUUGAGGUUUUGGUAAAAGUUCUUUGGAAUAGGACAUCAUAGAGGGUGAGAAUCCCGUAUUUGACCUUUACUUUCAACUUUGUGAUACACUUUCAAAGAGUCGGAUUGUUUGGGAAUGCAGUCCAAAAUGGGUGGUAAAUUUCAUCUAAAGCUAAAUAUUGGCGAGAGACCGAUAGCGAACAAGUACCGUGAGGGAAAGAUGAAAAGAACUUUGAAAAGAGAGUUAAACAGUACGUGAAAUUGUCAAAAGGGAAGCGUUUGACACCAGUGUUGUUUUUCUGAAAAUCAAUUAAAGAACUGUUUAUGCUAAGUUGUUUAGACUUUAUCAGCUAACUGUUUAGUUUUGAGCUUUUCUUUAAUGCACUUUUCAGUUAACAAGUCAACAUCAAUUUCUUUUGCUGUAAAAAAGCUUGAGGAAGGUGGCUUGAGAUUCGUCUUAAGUGUUUAUAGCCUCUUGCCUAUGCAGUCGGAGAGAUUGAGGUCUGCAGCGUAGAUCCUUCGGGGCUAAAUGCAUUUGUGCUAAGUUAUAGCAUUCUAUAGACAACUUGUUGACUAUGAUUUGUCUUGUAGCUUACUCGCUUAUGUUAUUUUACCUACGCUUAGGAUGUUGAAGAUGUAGCACAUCAU